UACGGAGGGUGCGAGCGUUGUCCGGAAUUACUGGGCGUAAAGCGCACGUAGGCGGCUUUGCAAGUUAGAGGUGAAAGCCCAGGGCUCAACCCUGGAAUUGCCUUUAAAACUGCAUCGCUAGAAUUGUGGAGAGGUAAGUGGAAUUCCGAGUGUAGAGGUGAAAUUCGUAGAUAUUCGGAAGAACACCAGUGGCGAAGGCGACUUACUGGACACAUAUUGACGCUGAGGUGCGAAAGCGUGGGGAGCAAACAGG
rnacentral:rRNA from 1 species